AAAAACAAAUAUAAAAAUAUUUACAUCAAUUUUUAAAAACACAACAAUACAGCGUUAUAAGCAAUUGGUGAAAUAAAUUAGAACUUUUAUGUAACAAAAUCAAAGUGCUUUUUGUAUAAAAAAAUAAAAUAUUAAUGGUUAAAAAAUUUUUAUUUUUUAAAGUGAUUUUUUAUUGUGUAUGAUAAAUAUUUGUGGCAUUAAAAGAUAGAUAGUUAAAAUAGUCUAACAUAACCAACCAGUCGAGCAGUUUACACUAUAUACAUAUGUACGUUCAUAUAGGUAUGUAAAUAAAUGAAUAGUCGACUUGUCUCGUCUACAACGUGGAAUCGCAAGAAAUCGUGAAACUUUGCAACAUUUUUCGUUUGCAUUUUUCACAUUAAAAACAACAAAGUGAUAUGAUUUUUUACUUGUGCACAUACAUAAAUAUGUGUGUACGUACAUGCGACUCUCAACCGGAUUUCUGGCUAAGAAAAAAGUAAUAUUAAUGCAAAUAAAAUAAAUAAACGCACCGAAGCAAUUGUGCCACAAUUUAUCACGGUUCAACGGACAAUAUAUAAAACAGCAUCGCUAUCUAAUACAUUGAAGUAUACAAAUUGAAUAAAUCUAGUGCAUAAAUUCAAUACAACCAUACAUAUAUGUUUAAGCACAGCACGUUAGACGCCACGAGAAAGAAACGACACUCGACAAAACUCAGCAGACGCUGCCAACACAGCAGUACUGCCACAUAAGCGUUGCCGGUCUGCAUGCUGGCCGAACAUGUGGUUGCGUUGAGGCGAAGGAAGCGGCGCAAAUAAUCCUGUAACAACAAGCAAGUGAACGCGCGAAGGACACCGCACAGCAAGAAAGUCAGCCAAGUAACGCAGACAAGAGACGUCGUCGCACGCGUGACACUAAAAACACUACACUAAUACAAACAAACCUAAAUACAUAAGUGCACAGUUUACUGGCAACUAAGGUGCGGAAGUUAGAAACGCGCGCGAGGCGUAAAUACGCUACAACUACAUCCGUUACCGACGGUCCUGUUGCGUCGCACACGCGGAGUGUCGUUAAAAAGUAAUAAAAAAAAACUAAAAUAAAAAAACUAAAACAACAACAAGCCAUUGUGCUGUAACAGCUAAGGGAAAGCGAAAAAACCGCCAAACGCAGUAAAAAAAGUGUUGCAAACUCACAGCAAGUGUCAUCAUCAUCUUGGCCAACACCAGGUCGCAGUAGAGAUCGUAUUAAAAAUUUCGCCUUCAAAUAUACGUACGCACAUACCGACAUUCAGAGUUGGUCCGGAAACCGCGAAAACUAAACUAAUUUUCAGCUUACGCAAACGCUACCCCACAGAGACGCGCUUCAACACAUUUUUCUUACUCAAUGUUUCCGGCUGCCGCUGAGACUGCGAAAAACCGCAAAAUACCGUGAAUUUCAAAAUCAACCAGCGCAAGCUAAGCUUAAUUUAGUUGGUGCAAACGUGGAGUUAAGAGUUCGAAGUUUGAGCUGGAGCACCGCCCACGUCAAAUAGGUGAAGGUGGCAAACCGCACAACUGGAUACUACUUGCUCUGCUACUUGACGUUGAACUGUAUAACAAAAUGUGCUUAAAGAAACUUAUAUUAAUAACAAUAACAACAAAAGCAAAUAUUUAAGUAGAAAACUCGACUGGAUACAUAUAUGUAUGUAUGUAUGUACUUAUAUUAUAACGUCAACGACACUUGAAGUGUAUAGCAAUAGCGGUGUGAUGGUGGUAGCAGCGUGACUAGAAGGACUCGUUAUACGAGUUUGCUACUCAUCUGCACACUUACCUAUAUAUAUGUACAAAUGCACAUACAAAGCUGCUUAUAAAAAUUUAAUUUGGUUAGAAUUUAGAAGUGCACACGCAUAGAAAACUCUUCUAAGUUAUUACUUUGAGUGCAACAAGACUUAAGUUUCUCCUUAUCAACAUUUGAGCUUGCAUCCCCUCGAAUCACCUUACCUAUAUGAACAUUUACGCUCGUACGUUCGUGGUCAUAAUGUCACAAUAACUGUCACCACUGUUUGCUUUGGUUAAAUACGAACGAACGACCUAAAGCAAAUAGCAAAGAGCUAGCGUGUGGUAGAGACCAUCAUAAACGCCUUCAUUUAAGGACGUAAUGUAACGUAAGAAAGGCAAACCCAACGACUCAAGUGCUGUGACUCCAAAACAAACAAAAAAUAACCGACAAACACAGCUAACUCAAGUCAACUGCGCCCGAGCUAAGUGAGACUGCUACAACAGCAAAAAAAAAAAAAUAAAAUAAAAAAUAAAAUAAAAAAAAAAUAAAAAAAGAAAAGUCAUCGUCAGUGGGUGCUAUUGCACUAAGUGUUCUCCUUUUUUUCAAUUAAACGGAAAUUGUGUUGAAUUAGUGUGAGCCAUAAAAAAGGCAGAAAAGAAAGUGGAAGUGGAAAUAGUUGUAUGAAAUAUAUACACAAGUGCUUACGAGUAAAAUAAAAUAGUUCACUUUAGUAUUAAUUCUAUGUGCCACCCUCUCAUGCGUUUAAAUAAUCCUACAUAUAUACAUACAUACUUGUACAUAUGUAUGUACAUACCAACAUCUAUGUGUUCGAUAUCCAACUGUGCGUAAAUAUUAGUUAUAUUAUAUAAAGAAUCUUAUACAUAAAUGCAUAUAAUAUGUAUAUACGUGUAUGCAUGUAUAAUUAAGAGUGAAUUCUCUAACGAAUAAUACCAUUAAACCAUAAAUAUGCACAUACAUAUUUACAAAAACGGAAAUAUAUAUUAAGAGUCAGCGUUUAAAUAUUACUAAAGUGUCUGUGCAUUAACGUAAGUAAGUGUGUGUGUGUGUGUGUGUGAUACUUGAGCGUUAUUACCACCAAGUCGGUCAAACUCAUUGUAGAGUUUUGAAGUGCUGAAUUAUAGCUACUUACAUAAAUACAUACGUACAUACAUACGUGUGAAGAAAUAUAUUUUUUCGCACGAUACCACUGCGUCAGCAGGCAACUGCCUGGCACUAAGUCAGGUAGCCCAGCGGAUAAGUUUCAUAAUGAAAAUCUAAUUUAUACGCACCGGAUUCGAGGAAAAUCCAUUUCUCCAGCAUCAACCGAUACGAUUUGCUUAUUUGCAUCUUCUUCUUGUUUGUCGUUAUUUUUUUCCGCGCUGGAAGAGCGAACGCCGCCAGCGUUCGGCGUGGAUUGUGGAUUUGCAGACACCAACAUUAAUUUAUGCAUAAUUUCAUUUGUAUUUCUUCGCUAAUUACCACGACAAGUGAGUCUAUGGUAUUCGGAGAGAUAGGCAGAUAGUCAAUCGUGCAACAGAAUACAGUAAAUAGUCAUUAAAUAAAGGAAGAGCGAAAGCAAAGGACAACAGCCCGGCAUAAUAAAGAUACUCAACAUUUCUUUUGCGUUUUACUGCUAUCUUUAGACGAAAUUUCGGUGAGUAAAUUAACUUUUAUACUUAUUUAUAUGUAAUAUAAUAUAAAGAGCAGAAACAAUACAUAUGAAUAAACUGUCUGACUAAAAAACCAAUCACUAUAAGAAUUUUUUCCAAAAUAGUACUGAUUUUGAGUGAGCAGGAUAUUCUGAACACCAGGGUUUGGGUCAUGGUAUGGGUCCCGGGUCACAGUAACUUACCGGGUAAUGAGAUGGUGGGCGAGGUUGCGAGAAAGUACACUUCCCUUUCUCUUUCACCGUCAUGGAAGUGUUUGGGCAUGCCGCUCUGCACUUGUAAGCUCCAUAUAAGAGAGUUAUUCCCAAGAAAUGCCAACUGAAGACGGAGAAGUCUCAAAACAUAUAAUGCGGCCAGCACAAUAUAGCCAGAAUAGAACAGUAGAAAGUGACGUGACUUUAUUGAGCUGAAAAUGAAGGAUAUGUCUACAGUUAAAAGUCUUCUUACAGGACAUAUCUUAUUCGGCUUGCACGCAGAGAUGAUUUAAACAGCAGUACAGCAAUAGGGACGGCAACCUUAGGAGACCUGAGCGAGAUAGCGGGGGAUACGAUGUGGACUUUGUUCAGUUUUACAAACUCCACGAAUUGGUUUAAUAGGCAGGUGGAGAUAUUUGAGAUUCUCAGUGGUAUCACAAUGAACCCGUCUGAGGGCUAGGUGUGCCAAUGCCCGGCAGCCACUUUAACCAGCCAAUUGCGGUCGCAUCUCGGCAAAGGGUGUCAAGCCCUCUGAGUGUAUUUAUAGCAUGAAAUACCUCAUAAAAAUCCAUCGUAGGUGGCUUGAUACAAACUUUUGGUCCCUAGAGCACCAAAAAAAACUGCAGGAAUGUCUGAUUCUGCUUAGGAGAAUUUAAAUUAAAAAGAAUAAAGUGUCACAAAAAGGUGCAGUUUAAGAUUAACUAAGCAAAAGCCGUUUCCAGAUCUCCAUAGUGGCUGCUCGGACUCCCACUCAUCAUCAAUAAGAAGAGCAUACUACAAAGUGGUGACUAUCAGUUGCAAUCAGAAGAGACAAUACAACGGCGUCCCUACACACAUUCCACUUUUCUAAUCACCUUUAUUUAGAGACUCCAUCUGGAGAGGUAUUUAUUUUUCCCAACUCCAUUACAAUUUUAGUUCAUUGGGUUCUUUAGACCUCAAGUGGUGCGUGCCAUAGUUGAUGACACUUCCUUACGACCAGCAAUACACGUAGUUUGUGCAUUCGUCGCUACAACAAAAAAGUCAGGCACUUCAAUAUUUAUUGCAUCCAACACACACAAACUCACCCGACAAGCACACUUAUGCACUUUCAAGCUGGCAAUCUGUUGCUGGCUGCUUGUCUGGCAGCAAAUAGGCAAAUGUGCCAACUAUGUUCCAACUAUGGCGAAUAUUUCUUUGCCUACUUACUUUGCAGGAAGUGGCGGCGUAUCGGCGUAUAUAUAGUGUACACAUAGCCAUAGCUGCCGGUAGUAAAAGUCAAGCCAAGAAGCAGUGAGAGCAGAGCACUUUAUUUUCGCUUCUCUGCUACCGUUCGGUGAUGGUGUGCAGUGUGUUGGUUGAGUCGCUUUCGCCUUUGUAAUCGUUCCGUUUGUUGUUAUUGGUUGCUGGUCUAGUGUUAAUGUCGAGCAGCUGGAAAUUUUUUCAUUUGCAGUGUGAACCGUAGUAUUGUUGCGGCGAAUAUUUGUAUAGCUGCAAAUGUAUGUACUUACUUACAUAUGUGUAUAAAGGUUAGCAAAUUCGUGUUUUUUAAAUUUAGUAUUAAAGUGCCCACCUCGCAGAAGGAUCAGUGAUGGGAAAAAAACUUGUUUUUUUUAUAGAA
rnacentral:lncRNA from 1 species